rnacentral:rRNA from 1 species
UACGUAGGGCGCAAGCGUUAUCCGGAAUUAUUGGGCGUAAAGAGCUCGUAGGCGGUUUGUCGCGUCUGCCGUGAAAGUCCGGGGCUCAACCCCGGGCCUGCAGUCGAUACGGGCAGACUAGAGUGCGGUAGGGGAGACUGGAAUUCCUGGUGUAGCGGUGGAAUGCGCAGAUAUCAGGAGGAACACCAAUAGCGAAGGCAGCUCGCUGGGACGGUACUGACGCUAAGGCGCGAAAGCGUGGGGAGCGAACAGG